AGCGAACGCUGGCGGCAGGCUUAACACAUGCAAGUCGAGCGGGCCCUUCGGGGUCAGCGGCGGACGGGUGAGUAACGCGUGGGAACGUGCCCUCUGGUCUGGAAUAACCCUGGGAAACUAGGGCUAAUACCGGAUACGCCCUUUUGGGGAAAGGCUUGCUGCCGGAGGAUCGGCCCGCGUCUGAUUAGCCAGUUGGUGGGGUAACGGCCUACCAAGGCGACGAUCAGUAGCUGGUCUGAGAGGAUGAUCAGCCACACUGGGACUGAGACACGGCCCAGACUCCUACGGGAGGCAGCAGUGGGGAAUAUUGGACAAUGGGCGCAAGCCUGAUCCAGCCAUGCCGCGUGAGUGAUGAAGGCCUUAGGGUUGUAAAGCUCUUUUAUCCGGGGCGAUAAUGACGGUACCGGAGGAAUAAGCCCCGGCUAACUUCGUGCCAGCCGCCGCGGUAA
rnacentral:rRNA from 1 species